AAGUUUCGUACCACGUAAAUAACGUGGCACUCUUCAGAUAAAAUAGCCUAUGUUUGUUUAUCUGAAGAGUGCCACGUUAUUUACGUGGUACGAAACUG